rnacentral:rRNA from 1 species
CAGCCGCCGCGGUAAAACGGAGGGUGCAAGCGUUAAUCGGAAUUACUGGGCGUAAAGCGUGCGUAGGCGGUUCGUUAAGUCUGUUGUGAAAGCCCCGGGCUCAACCUGGGAAUGGCAAUGGAUACUGGCGAGCUAGAGUGUGUCAGAGGAUGGUGGAAUUCCCGGUGUAGCGGUGAAAUGCGUAGAUAUUGGGAAGAACACCGGUGGCGAAGGCGGCGACCUGGUCCUUGACUGACGCUGAGGCGCGAAAGCGUGGGGAGCAAACAGGAUUAGAGACCCCAGUAUCCCUGUCUCUUAUACA